UGGUGGAGUGAUUUGUCUGGUUAAUUCCGUUAACGAACGAGACCUUAACCUAUUAAAUAGUUACGCGAACCUGGGUUUACCCAUUUGUUCGUGGAUAACUUCUUAGAGGGACUCUUCACGUAAAGAGUGAAUGGAAGUUUGAGGCAAAAACA
rnacentral:rRNA from 1 species